rnacentral:rRNA from 1 species
GACGAACGCUGGCGGCGUGCCUAAUGCAUGCAAGUCGAGCGCAGGAAACUGACGGAACUCUUCGGAGGGAAGGCAGUGGAAUGAGCGGCGGACGGGUGAGUAACACGUAAGGAACCUGCCUCAAGGAUUGGGAUAACUCCGAGAAAUCGGAGCUAAUACCGGAUAGUUCAACGGACCGCAUGGUCCGCCGAUGAAAGGCGCUCCGGCGUCACCUUGAGAUGGCCUUGCGGUGCAUUAGCUAGUUGGUGGGGUAACGGCCCACCAAGGCGACGAUGCAUAGCCGACCUGAGAGGGUGAUCGGCCACACUGGGACUGAGACACGGCCCAGACUCCUACGGGAGGCAGCAGUAGGGAAUCUUCCACAAUGGACGAAAGUCUGAUGGAGCAACGCCGCGUGAGUGAUGAAGGUUUUCGGAUCGUAAAACUCUGUUGUAAGGGAAGAACACGUACGAGAGGAAGUGCUCGUACCUUGACGGUACCUUACGAGAAAGCCACGGCUAACUACGUGCCAGCCGCCGCGGUAA